GCUUUCAUAGACCAAAUGGCUAGAGCACCCGCUUGGUAAGCGGGGGCUCAAAGUUCAACUCUCAAUGAAAGCA
rnacentral:tRNA from 1 species